rnacentral:rRNA from 1 species
CCUACGGGAGGCAGCAGUGAGGAAUAUUGGUCAAUGGGCGAGAGCCUGAACCAGCCAAGUCGCGUGAGGGAAGACGGUCCUAUGGAUUGUAAACCUCUUUUGCCGGGGAGCAAAAAGCGGUACGUGUACCGCAUCGAGAGUACCCGGAGAAAAAGCAUCGGCUAACUCCGUGCCAGCAGCCGCGGUAAUACGGAGGUGGCAAGCGUUGUCCGGAUUUACUGGGUGUAAAGGGCGUGUAGCCGGGCUGACAAGUCAGAUGUGAAAUCCGGGGGCUCAACCCCCGAACUGCAUUUGAAACUGUUGGUCUUGAGUAUCGGAGAGGCAGGCGGAAUUCCUAGUGUAGCGGUGAAAUGCGUAGAUAUUAGGAGGAACACCAGUGGCGAAGGCGGCCUGCUGGACGACAACUGUCGGUGAGGCGCGAAAGCGUGGGGAGCAAACAGGAUUAGAUACCCGGGUAGUC